CCUCACCUGUGCCACAUCGAUUUUACUGUGCCAAGGGGAAAGGUUAAAAACGCUUGGACCCAAUCUAAAAAAUCCGCAUCUACCCAUUGAUCCUCUCACACGCAAGCCUCCUCUCUCUCUUGUCUUGCGAGCCCUCUCUCCUCCCCGCGACUCCUCGGCGCCGCCACCACUCAUGCCGGCCGAUUCCGGCGAGUCCCGAUGGCGGGUGGCAGACCUACGACCUCCCCUCGCUCUGCUCCUUCCUCCCAUCCCUCCAAAUUCGUUGCUAGAGGCCUCCUGCGCUCGCUCCCGACCCUCAGCCGUGGCUAGGGUUUCAGGAGCGGCGUCCACUUCGUCGCCGGCGAGGCUAUGGUGGCUCGUCUCCCCCCAACCCCCGCGCCCACGCGUGGCUGGCCAUGAGGUGCACGCAGUGCGUCGGGCCGUGCCUCCUUUGCACCAGUGAAGAGAUAAUGAAGGUUGUUGCGCCGAUGCUAGUCUGGAGCACCACUCAGAGGCCUUGUUGUCGAGUGGGAGGAUCAGAAGGUAGUGGGAGACGAUGCCGAGUGGAUCGAUGAUAGUUGUGUCGUGUUUGGUGUCCAGGAGCUGGCGGUAGGAAGUGAAGGUCAUCAAGGUCGCAGUCCACACAUCCUCGUCCAUGUUGUGCCACCCUACAAAUGAUUUCCUCUUUGGUCGCUCCUCCUCACGGACGCUCCAGGACAACAUCUCAGCACGGCAUCGUUUGAGGAGAGGAUCAUUGUCGUGCGCUCGAUGGCAGGAACAGACCGAGGUCCUCAUUCGACCUUAAUUUCAAGGUAGCUUUGCUGUUUAAUUGCAUCCCCUCCUAGCUAGCUAAAAAGAGACAUUCACUUUUGCGUGUGCAGAAUUGCGUGAGUUGUUAGCGAAAAGCUAGUAGAGCUUGCUUAAUCAUGAUGUACUCCCUCCGUUCCUAAAUACAAGUCUUUGUAGAGAUUUCACUAUGGACCACAUACGGAUGUAUCUAGAUGCAUUUUAGAGUAUAGAUUCACUCAUUUUGCUCCGUAUGUAGUCACAGUGGAAUCUCUCCAAAGACUUAUAUUUAGGAACGGAGGGAGUAGUAAUUAGUGCAUUGCUGCUUGUGUGACAAACUGUAGGAAUGAACAUAGCCAGGAAAUAAAAAUGAUAUGUAUGCUAAAGAGGCUUAUUCUACACAUGGUAUCUUUAUGUCAGUUACAUACAGUGUCUAGAUGCUUACUUCCCAAUUUUCCUUGAGAUUUUUGUGGCCUUCCUCUGAGCCUUUAGGCACUGCAAGCUAAAUAUAUGUGAAAUUGCCCGUCUCCAGUAGUAGUAUUUCAUUCAUUGUGGUCUGGAGCAAGUGAGCCUUCGCAAGAAACUGUACCUCCUGUUCAAGAUCAUGUCCUGCACCAGCAUCCUCAGAAUUCUAUACCUGACAGUCAUGAUAUGAAGGAUCUGGAUGAACCAUUUGAUCCCAUGUUUAGCCGCCUACGGACAACCCUUUUGGUAAUUACAAGAGCACGUUCAUACUCCCUUUGUCCAAAAUAAGUGAUUCAACUUAUGUGCUGAUGGUAAACAGUUGUGCGUGUGUAUUUGGUCUAUUUCCUCUCCAUAUCCAUGGUUUUCAUGCUGAUUUGUGUUUUCCGCUUUCUAUUUCAAGUUAUCGCCCAUGUAGCUGUGUAUUUGGCUGCAGGUCAUCGCUACUACUCCCUCCGUCCGGAAAUAUUUGUCAUCAAAAUGGCUAAAAGUCGAUGUAUCUAGACGUAUUUUAAUUCUAGAUACGUCUCUUUUUAUCUAUUUUGAUGACAAGUAUUUUCGGACGGAGGGAGUACCUCGAUGAAGUCACACGGACCCAGUGGUUCACACUACCUCCAAAGCAUUCGAAGAAGGUGUCCGCGUACAUGGUAUAAUUGUCUAUAUACAUAUAUCACCAUACAUUAAAAUGAAGAACGACGGCGUCUAAAAGAUUCUGAAGCUUCAUUCUGGAGUUACAUGAAUCUGGGGCUGACUGAGGGAGAUCAAAAUGGUACCAGAUGGUAACAUUAGGUUGUAUGCAUGCAGUGAUGUUUAAUCAAGAUCGUUCAAAGGCUAUAUUCAGGUAGAUAAAUUGACCUCUACCAUGUCUUAUCAGUUCAUCUAUUAAGUUGUUGUAGUACUUCAAGCCCUACACUGUCAGCGUGACAUUGAGUACCAUGAAUUUUCAGAGAUGCACUACUGUACUAGACAAUGUACUUUCUCAUCAAUUUAAAAUAAUUAAGAGGCAUGUGACAUGUGUCUUAGUUUCUAAUAGAAACACAAAUAUGUCUAUUUCACUUUUUAGACAAUUUUUUUGAUUCUGCAAAAUGCGCGAAGCAAAUGCAUUAUGACCCGAUGUUUUAAUUCAUAGGAGCAUGUAUAAAUUGGGAGUUGCUUUUGGUUUGAUCAACAUUGUUCCUUUGUAUGCUUACAUGGUUACCGCUUUAGUUAUCAGGGAAGAUUUCUUGCGUUUUGUGCCUUCGUGUUUUCUCGUUCAAACUUUAAUAAUGGUUUGGAAAUUCUUGGUAAAUGCGGUUAACAAUGAGGAUACAAUCGAGUACAAUUAAUUUGUUUUUCUAUUGCCGGGUAACCUUCUUAUGUCAUCAUUUUCUGACUAAUUUUAUGCUGCAAGUAUCUGGUCCAGAGUCGAUGGAGACAAGCAACAUCAUGAUGCUGCUAUAUCUUAGUGGUCUUUAUUUCACAAAUAGUGAUCUGCUUCUUAUCUGCUCUAGGUGUCUCUGUCGUGACUUGCUUGGCAUUAUUCUCAUAUCCGUUAGGCAGUAGUAACCUUCUUUUGAUGGUUGUCGACACACACCUUCAGUCACACAUACACCAUACGAGGUAUUGAAUAACCUAUCCUCUCAUUUUUAUCAUCAUUGCCAUAACUUUUACAGCCUUCUCAUCAAAGUUCUUGCCUCUGAGCCCACUCUCUGCCAUGAUGUGCUGAUAUGCUCAUUUUACAUUAUAUGUUUGUUUGUCUGUUUGUGUGAACUUUUAGUUUUCCAGAAGUUUUUGUUAUAGCGUGCCACUUCUAUCUUUGUAUACUCAAUGUCACGCUGACAGUGUAGGGCUUGAAGUACUACAACAAGUAGAUGUAGUAUUUUCCAAUUAUCUAUUUGCAAUUCAAUUAUUUAGUUAUUUUAGGAGAGGCGUUAGUUCAUUGAUUUAAUGACUUCUUUUAGCAGUCAAAACAGCAGGAGAUGCUCCCACUGCUAUAUUCUUAAUUUUUGAGAAAUAAUACAUACUGUCUGUAUGCCCACCAAUUGGUGGCAGAAAGGGUCUUUUUUUGCGAAAGGGCAGAAAGGGCCUUACAAAUAAAACAAGGCCAAGUAUAAAAAAUAUACAAGGUUCUGGCCCUGAACUUCAGAAUCCCUAGGUCUGAAGUUAGUCCUGUCUUACAACUGAGCAAUAUGCAGAGCCUCUGGCACGCGCAGCCAUGCUCUAUCGCCGCCACCUGCUACUUCAAGUCCGUCAACGGCCUCGCCGGAAACUGGGGCUUAUCCAUAGUCCGACUCAAUCUCUGUGUCGCCCUCCUCGCCGGUAUACAUGCAUCUCGUUUAGUCAGCUCGUUGUACAACUUGUAGUCUCCUCAAUCCAGAAGUAGGAAUUCACAGAUAAAAUGCUUAUCUGAAUUCAGGUGUACAACCAUUUUUUUUUUGGAUUUUAGGUUGGAUGCUCACAUAAGAGGUGAUCUGAUUUUGCUAUCGCUUGUCUCUUUUUGCUAAUGCUGGGAUGUGUCCAAGUGUUGAUUUUUGUCAUGUGUGGAAGCUGGACUGUGUCUAUAUGUACAUUUUUGUUCAUGCAAGAAUUUUUUAU